GGGGAUGUAGCUCAGAGAAAGAGCAAUUGGCAGGCAUCCAGGAAGCCCUGGGUUCCAUUCCCGGCAAUGCCA
rnacentral:tRNA from 1 species